rnacentral:rRNA from 1 species
UUGAAAGGGAAACGAUUGAAGUCAGUCAUGCUGGUGAGGAAUCAGCACGAGGGUUCGCUCUCGUGUGCACUUCUUUGCUUGGCAGGUUAGCAUCAAUUUUGGUCGUCAUAAAAUUAUUGGGGUAAGGUGGCUCCCCUCGGGGAGUGUUAUAGACCCUAGUAGAUGUGAUGACCGGGAUUGAGGAUUGCAGCGAAUGCUACUUGGCUAGUCACCUGGAUUUCUGUUGAUCACCUCGCCGUUGAUAGCUUCGCUAACCUCGGUGGGAUCUGAUUGACUAGAGAUUAGACUGAUCGUAAAUUCGCUAAGGAUGCUGACGUA